GGAUUAGAUACCCUGGUAGUCCACGCCGUAAACUAUGAUUACUCGUUAUUGGCGAUACACAGUCAGUGACUAAGCGAAAGUGAUAAGUAAUCCACCUGGGGAGUACGGUCGCAAGAUUGAAACUCAAAGGAAUUGACGGGGGCCCGCACAAGCGGUGGAGCAUGUGGUUUAAUUCGAUGAUACGCGAGGAACCUUACCAGGGCUUAAAUGCAAGAUGACAAUUUGGGAAACCAGAUUUUCUUCGGACAUCAUGCAAGGUGCUGCAUGGCUGUCGUCAGCUCGUGCCG
rnacentral:rRNA from 1 species